rnacentral:rRNA from 1 species
ACAGGUGGUGCAUGGUUGUCGUCAGCUCGUGUCGUGAGAUGUUGGGUUAAGUCCCGCAACGAGCGCAACCCCUAUCCUUAGUUGCCAGCAUUGAGUUGGGCACUCUAGGGAGACUGCCGGUGACAAACCGGAGGAAGGUGGGGAUGACGUCAAAUCAUCAUGCCCCUUAUGAGUUGGGCUACACACGUGCUACAAUGGACGGUACAAAGGGCAGCGAGACCGCGAGGUGGAGCCAAUCCCAUAAAGCCGUUCCCAGUUCGGAUUGCAGGCUGCAACUCGCCUGCAUGAAGUCGGAAUCGCUAGUAAUCGCAGGUCAGCAUACUGCGGUGAAUACGUUCCCGGGUCUUGUACACACCGCCCGUCACACCACGAGAGUUUGCAACACCCGAAGCCGGUGAGUAAC